rnacentral:tRNA from 1 species
UGGAGAUGUUGCUCAGUGGUACAGUGCUUGCCUAGCAUGUGUGAGGCUCUGGGAUCAACCUCCAGCACUGCAA